rnacentral:rRNA from 1 species
UACGGGGGGGGCAAGCGUUGUUCGGAAUUACUGGGCGUAAAGGGCGCGUAGGCGGCCUACUAAGUCGGACGUGAAGUCCCUCGGCUCAACCGAGGAACUGCGUCCGAUACUGGUGGGCUUGAAUCCGGGAGAGGGAUGUGGAAUUCCAGGUGUAGCGGUGAAAUGCGUAGAUAUCUGGAGGAACACCGGUGGCGAAGGCGGCAUCCUGGACCGGUAUUGACGCUGAUGCGCGAAAGCCAGGGGAGCAAACGGG